AGAGUUCGAUCCUGGCUCAGGAUGAACGCUGGCGGCGCGCCUAACACAUGCAAGUCGAACGAUUAAAGCACCUUCGGGUGUGUAUAAAGUGGCGAACGGCUGAGUAACACGUGGGCAACCUGCCCCUCUCAUUGGGAUAGCCACGGGAAACCGUGGAUAAUACCGAAUACUUCGAGACUUCCGCAUGGAAGACUCGAGAAAGCUCCGGCGGAGAGGGAUGGGCCCGCGGCCUGUUAGCUUGUUGGUGGGGUAACGGCCUACCAAGGCAAUGAUGGGUAGCUGGGUUGAGAGACCGACCAGCCAGAUUGGGACUGAGACACGGCCCAGACUCCUACGGGAGGCAGCAGUGGGGAAUCUUGCACAAUGGGCGAAAGCCUGAUGCAGCGACGCCGCGUGCGGGACGAAGGCCUUCGGGUCGUAAACCGCUUUCAGCAGGGACGAGGCCGAAAGGUGACGGUACCUGCAGAAGAAGCCCCGGCUAACUACGUGCCAGCAGCCGCGGUAAUACGUAGGGGGCAAGCGUUAUCCGGAUUCAUUGGGCGUAAAGCGCUCGUAGGCGGUCUGUUAGGUCGGGAGUUAAAUCCGGGGGCUCAACCCCCGCUCGCUCCCGAUACCGGCAGACUUGAGUUUGGUAGGGGAAGGUGGAAUUCCUAGUGUAGCGGUGGAAUGCGCAGAUAUUAGGAAGAACACCAGUGGCGAAGGCGGCCUUCUGGGCCAUAACUGACGCUGAGGAGCGAAAGCUAGGGGAGCAAACAGGAUUAGAUACCCUGGUAGUCCUAGCCGUAAACGAUGGACACUAGGUGUGGGGGAAUAUUUCUUCCGUGCCGCAGCUAACGCAUUAAGUGUCCCGCCUGGGGAGUACGGCCGCAAGGCUAAAACUCAAAGGAAUUGACGGGGGCCC
rnacentral:rRNA from 1 species